CCUACGGGAGGCAGCAGUGGGGAAUAUUGCACAAUGGGGGAAACCCUGAUGCAGCAACGCCGCGUGAGUGAAGAAGUAUUUCGGUAUGUAAAGCUCUAUUUGCAGGGAAGAGAAUAACGGUACCUGACUAAGAAGCCCCGGCUAACUACGUGCCAGAAGCCGGGGUAAUACGUCGGGGGCAAGCGUUAUCCGGAUUUACUGGGUGUAAAGGGGGCGUAGACGGCUGUACAAGUCUGAAGUGAAAGGCCGGGGCGAAACCGCGGAACUGCUUUGGAAACUGUAAAUCUGGAGUACUGGAGAGGCAGGCGGAAUGCCUAGUGUAGCGGUGAAAUGCGUAGAUAUGAGGAGGAACACCAGUGGCGAAGGCGGCCUGCUGGACAGAAACUGACGUUGAGGCUCGAAAGCGUGGGGAGCAAACAGGAUUAGAUACCCGAGUAGUC
rnacentral:rRNA from 1 species